rnacentral:lncRNA from 1 species
AGAGGCUCCGAGAAACGCACUUUUAAAUAAGAAAAUCGAACAGUUUGAUGGCGCCCUCGCUCCCUCUUCUCGCAGCCACCCUUGUGACACUCGAACGUUAUGGCCCCCUUUACAGGUGCCUGGAGCGCUUGUCAGAUUCUGGAACCAGCCCAAACCAACAAAAGCCACCCGCGUCCCGGCGGAAGUCCAGCGCACAGUGGCCACUGAGUGCCCCUGGAAGCACCACCAAGCCCAGGAAAGCCCCACGACCACCACGCCCCGAGCUGUCCCCUGCACGUGGAUCUUCCCCGAUCUCCUAGUGGAAGUGCUUGCUGCAGACAUCAGUUGGGGGUCCUUGUCGCUUUCUUACAGGGCUGUUCAGGACAGCCAUGCUGCCACUGAACUGGCUUUCAGGGAUUCUUGAUGAAAUCACCCCGAGUCUCCAACUUGGGUUCUACCCCAAACCACAUGGUCUCCACUGUGGGAGUGCCACCAGCACCGAGGCCUCCAACUGCAGGCCUACAAAGACGGAGCAGCAGAAGACAUCUGCCACCAUCUUCUUGGCGCUUCAGAUAUCUUCAUGUUCAAAGGAGCCACUUAAACUCAACCUUCACCCACCACUUCCAUCACCUGUGACCUGGCCUCCCUAUCCAAUCUGCUCCCUGAUGAUCACUGGCAUCUUGUUUCUCUCUUGCUCAAAAGUCUUCACCAGUUUCUCAUACAAGAUCCAAUUCAAACUCCACAGCCUUGACACCUCACAUCCAGAACCCUUCCGGCACCCUCUGUCCACUCCAAGCUGGCCCUUUCUCUAACUCAUCCUUGUGGCCUCCCUGCCAGGCCUUUGCUCUUAAGAACACCCCACAUAUUAGACCCUCCUUGCUAUUCUC